rnacentral:misc_RNA from 1 species
GCGCAUAGCUGCUGACUUUAUGCAUCAGUCGUGUUCAAAGAAUACAUGUUUAAAUUACUGAUAGGAUUAGCCGGGACCGUCUUACUUAGGAAUAAAGUGUUUGUGAAAUACAGGGAAUUAGCUUAAUAAGUAUUGAUUGGGAUGAUUGUAAAGAGAUUUAACCCAUGAACGGCAAUAACAACAGCGAUAGCGUGUAGUCUGGGUGAUUAGCCUCCAUAUGGGCCGGUGACCACUUGGCCUGGGAGAGGAAUGUUGUGUGUUAGUGUCCUUGCAUCGCCGUGUUAGUCACUGUGUGGAUGCGAGACAGCGCAACACAGCAAUGACGGCAGGGACAGCAACAAACGGACUGCAACAUCACGCUGGUCUGUUUUCAAAUCAAACUUUUAAAAAAUUGAUAAAGAAUUUGAUACUUACUUUUAAAUAUUAUGAUAAUAGUUUAUCAUUGAAAUUUUAAUCCACUGAUAGAAUAAAUAAAGAACGCAGCGUAACAUAAUUCUUAAAUUCAAUUUUUAAAAAGUUUCCUGAUUUAUCAUCGAAAAUAUUUAAUUUUUUUAAAUAAUCAACAUUGAAAUUAAAACUACAUGUGUUCAAAAAUGAACUUUUUCGACAAGUGGUUUGUUAGCUUACCAAUCGAAAUCUAACAGGAAAGUCGAUGUGGAAAUUCCCUUUCAUACAAGUAAUUGUUUUGAUUUAUUAGAAAUAAAAACGCGUACUUGUCUAAAUCCCAUAAAUAUUCAACAAAUGAUAUUCGUGCAAAUAUCCAUUUAAUUUUUGAGCAAAAUUGCCGUUUUCAAAAUAUUUAAAAUAUCUUAGCAUUAAAACAUUGGAAAUCUGGGAUAUCGUAAUACUUUCUCUCGCGAUAGAAUAAUGAUAUCCCAGAGUAACUUAGAUACCUGAAUUGGCGACUAAGUGUGUAGACAUCCAGAUCAAGAGUGGGUUCUACUUCAUUUUACGCCCGUACAGUAUGUUUAAAUUGCCAUAAACGACACGAGACGUGUAUUGUUUGUGAAGACCUUCGAGACUAUCAGUUACUAUAUAUAUUUAAAUCAAACCAACCAUCUAAAUAAUUAAGCAAUAUAGAAAUGUUCAUAUUUUUAACUUUGAUAUACGACAGAGAGCUGUAGCUGUAUUUACCAGCAUGGACAUUACACGAUGUAUCUUCUAACAACAACACCAGUACAUUUUGUAUUUAACAGCAUGUAUAUAUUUUUUGUAUUUUUUCAGGCGAAGCCCGGGACGGAGCACGGGCCUGACGCGCUGAGAGAGGGGGGCCUGAUCAAGAAGUUGAUGGGGCUGGGGCUGGACGUGCACGACUAUGGUGACGUGGGGACCCCCAGUCACGAAGACGACCAUCAUUUCGACCUGCCCGUCAAGAACCCCAAACACGUGGCCACCGCCUCGGAAAAUGUAAGUCUUUUUUUUUAAUGAAUGCACAGAGCCCCUAGUUAUGUAAUCCUGUCAGAAAUGUCUAUCUGAAUAAACAAUGUACUUAUUUGGCCCCUAAAUUUUAAACGUCCUUGGUCUAAUUGUGAUAUUCCCUUUGACAGAUCGCUGCCGAUGUGUAUAACGUCAUCAAGUCUGGGAGGACUUGUUUGGCUCUGGGAGGGGAUCACAGCAUGGCCAUAGGCUCUAUCUUCGGCCAUUCCUUGGCAGAACCAGAGCACGUGGUUGUUUGGGUUGAUGCGCACGCAGACAUCAAUACUCCUCUGACGUCAUCAUCUGGAAACAUGCAUGGAAUGCCCUUGUCAUUCCUGGUGAAGGAACUUCAGCCAUACAUCAGCAAGCUUCCUGGAUUUGAAUUCAUCAAACCAUGGUAAUUUCCCAGGAUACAUUGCCGUAAUGUGUAAAACAGCGUUCGAGUGGAAUUCUUGUCGGUAAUUUUAUAACAAAGAUAUUUUUUCAAUUAUUUUCAGCUUGUCUGCGAAAAACAUCGCGUACAUUGGUCUCCGGGACGUGGACCCGGGAGAGAGGUAAGUACUAUGACAUAUUCUGUUUGAUUCUGUAGAUUCCAUAUAAAGAAUAUUUGAAUUCAUUUGACUAUAACUUUUGUAGAUAUAUCAUCGAGAAGCUUGGCAUCCAGUCGUUCUCGAUGUCCGAGGUGGACAGACAUGGGAUCAAGGAUGUGGUGGAGAAGGCCAUGCACUACCUUGACCCAGAGUAAGUACAGUCCACCCAAGACCCAGACUCGGCCUUGUUAUAUCCCAGGGGAUUUGGAUUUAUUGUAUUUGCUAUCUCCAUCUACGAGAUCGAUCAAUAAGUUAUGGGUCCCAUAGGAAAAGUCUAUAGUAGAUCUUAUUUACACUAAACAAAGAGAAUUUAUUCUAUUAUUAAAGCAUUUUUUUCUCUCUAGGGGAGUGAAGCCGAUUCAUCUGAGUUUUGACAUUGACGCUUUGGACCCCUCCCUGGCCCCGAGUACCGGGACACCUGUCCCUGGAGGUCUCUCUAUCAGGGAGGGAAAUUACAUCUGCGAGGAACUUGCCGCUACAGGUAAUAAAACUGUUCUGUUUACUGAGAGAGAAUUCCGUCACAAAGUGAGAAUUGCCAAACUUAUGCUUAUUUUAUUGUUUUGUAGGUCGAUUGACAUGCGUGGACAUAGCAGAAGUAAAUCCAAGUUUGGGAAACGAACGCGAUAACCUGAUCACGGUUAAUUCGGCGCUUUCGAUCAUCACGCACUGCUUCGGCGGCCGACGCCAAGGAACCUACCCUAAAAAUUACCAAAUCCCAAUCCCGACGCAUACGAAUCAUGUGGCCCCACCUCCUUCAUAGACAAUUGGGUGUUUGAGAGAGGAAACCGGCAUAAUAUGAUCAUCAAGACUAAUGAUUUAUUUGUUAACAUAUAUAUUAUGUAUGUACUUUUCACAGUGUACAACGAGAGAGAGAGAGAGAGAGAGAGAGAGAGAGAGAGAGAGAGAUGAUGAUGAUGUAUAUAAACUCAUUUUGUGUAUAGUUCAUUGGUAUUCAUUUUGUGUUUUUAAAACCAUACCAUUUUCAGUUGAUUGAUAUUAAUGAUUUUUUUAUUACUAUAUGUUUACUUGAAUAUGACAGCAAUACAAUAAUUAAACAUC